AAAUUGUCAUUCACUCGCAUCACCUUUCUCUCUCACUCACUCUUGCUGUGUUGCUGUCUUGCUUGAUCCUUCUUUGUGAUUCGUUUGUGUUUUAGCUUUUAUUUUCGGAACUUUAUUAACUACAAACUUGGCUAUUCAAACGGACUCUGAUUGAUUGCAAUAACGACAUACUCAGCCUGGGAUUUACUGUUUUUGUGUGGCUCGGCCAAGGCUCGGCUGGUGGUUCUAUGGUGUUAGAAAAUGAGCAACUUAAUUAUACACAACAAUGGGCAGCACCUCGAUCGGUAAGUACCUACAUUUUGCUCUGCAAUCUUAUGAAUAAGUACUAGCCUUGCCAAACUUCUGAAUUGCCAUUCUCAUGGCGGGUUGUCUUGAAAUGAAUGUUCCGCUAUUAUCUGUGGUUCAACCCUGGACAGUGUGGACAGCCAGGCCCGAUUCGAUUGUAAGAAACUAGUCGAUGGUACAGCGCAAUGGAGGCAUGAGCGAAACAACAAUUAUGUUGACAAUCCAGCUGGUUUUGGUGUAAAUCUAAGGAAUUAUUUACUUUGACACUAUCUCCCUGCUCUCAAUGAAAGCUUGUUUUGUUUUGUUUUUUGGAACUAAGACUACUAGAUUAUUAUUUUUUGUAACUAAGUUACAGCUCAUGAUCUUAUAUGCACAACAUGUUGGACCCAAGCCCAAGAUACAACACAAAUGCAUCUACUUCAAAUCUUAGCAGAAAAUGUGUGCUUUGCAGUAGAACACUAGAGCCUAGAACACGUUCACAUCAGCUCAUGUCCCUGAGAACUAACACUCAACAUCAUAUUAACAUCAGGAACAUAAUUGUGGAACGACUAACUCCAUUAGAGGUUACUGCAAAUGACUACAUCUGUGGGGCUUGUCACUCAUUAUUGCAAAGAGAUACCACACCUACUUCACAAGACUCUCCAGAUAUGCCAAUCGGUGCCCCGGUAGGUCACCAACAAGUUUGUGUUGGAUGUGGUUGUUCAUUAUUGCGAACUUGAAGUCAUUGUUUGGAUACAGAGAAUAAUCAAGAUAUAUUAAACAUUGUUCGAAAUUGGAUUCAACCCAGAGAGAUUCGUCCUUCAGAUCUUCUUUGCCAUAGAUACUAUCAGAGAGCACGAAUUACUACAGUUGGUGCUUAUUUAAUGAAGCUGAGGACCGGUGAUUCAGAUGACAGAAUAGCUACAUUACUUGGCAUUUCAAGGAGUACUCUUACAAAAUAUGUAAUGAAAGCACGCAGUAUGAUGGAGGAACAUUUCGUACCAGCACAUUUAGGGUUACAACAUAUUAGUAGAGAGGAAGUAGCCCAAAGAAACCUUUAUGUUCCAGUCUCUUUUCGGGAAGCCAGGAAACGAUUUACCACAAAGAAAGGCUAUUGUCAUCAUGGAUGGUACAUACAUACAUUUAUGUGCAAAAAAGUAGCAAUUAUGCAUACCAAAAAAAAACUUAUUCCCUAUACAAAUAUCGGAAUCUCGUUAAACCAUUUAUGGUACUUUGUUGUGAUGGCGACAUCAUUGAUGUAUUGGGCCCAUAUUUAAUAGAAAAUGUAGAACAUGACCAUUAAUAAAUAAUAAGUACCUACAUACGUAUUUUCAUUUAUACCUA